UCAAAAAAUUAGUGGGACGCUUCUUAGCUAAGAAGUAAAAUCACGCGUCCUUGGGAAAGACGUGGCGUGAGGAGAGUGGCCAAAGCAAAUCGUGAGGGGAAAUGAGAUUGAAGGUCUUGUUUCACAAAUCUCGUGAUUUUCGUUCUCUCUCUGGUGAUCGUGUUUCCGAGGGAUCUCUUCCAGAUUCUGUAUCUCUCGACGGUUUGGGAAAGCGUAUCUCUCGUCGCUGUCUUCGUCUUUUAUUUCGGCGGUUCUCUCGGGUUUUCUCUCGGCGGUGCUUUCGGCAGUGCUCUUAGCGGUGAUCUCGGCGGUUCUACUCUCUCAUCAACAUCGUUUCCGGUAUUCGAAGGUUAAAGGGUAAGGUGAGGAUCGUCUACAAUAACCGGGUUAGGAGUAGUAAAAAUCUGAAAGAGAUACAACCGUUUGAUUAAGGUCAUUGUGAUAGGCGUAAUUACAGUUUCACCUAUUUAACCAUCCCUCCAAAUGACUUCAAGGUGGUCAGCAUGAUAAUGAUGUGCUCAAGGUCGCCCAUAAAAUUUACUAAGCUGAUCAAGAGUCCAAAUUCACUCUUGAGCAUGCGUGGUGUGUCUUGCGGUUUGAGCAGAAAUUACUUAACCUCAACACCACUCCUACUGGUAGAUCAAAGAGGAAAAGUGUUCGAACAGAUUCCCAAGCAGCAAACCCCAGUGUUGAUGCAAGUGUUGGUGAACAAGAGGAACGUCCGGAAGGUGUGAAGACUGCAAAAGCUAAAAGGAGUAAUGGGAAGGGGAAGUCAGUUGCUGACAACGCGGAGGUUUGGGAUAUGAGGGACCAGGAGUUGGGAAAGAAAGAGAAGCUUUCAAAGCUUGCCAUCUUAGACACACUCCUAGCCAAAAGCCAACCACUCAGUGAGGCUGAAGAAGUAGCCAAAAACAAGCUUCUAGCCGAGUUUUUCUCUUGAAAUAUCUCAUCCAACCUGUUUGCAAUAACUAUUGAUUUUAUUUGGUGUUUUUUGUACUUUGGUUUCUAUGUUUUUAUGUUUUAAUUUUCAACUUUGUAAUUUCUCAUGUUUUUCUCUAUAUUAUCUAUUUCUUUUUUAAUUAAAAUAAUUAAUUAA